UGCUGAAUUGCUAAAAUUAAAAUUGAAAGGGAAACUUGCUCAGUUGCCUUGGCCACAAUAUUAUAGUCAAAUAAUCUUCUCUUUUCACAUGCUAUUUUGUGAAAAGUGACACUGACACACAAGGGUUAUUGUUAUUGCCUGGCGAAUUGCUUGCAUAUAGCAAUUUUUGUUUAAUUUAUUAUGGUUUUGAGUUCGAAAUGGUUUAACACAAAGGAAAACAUGGAAUCAAUACAUAACUGCAAUUUUCACCCUCUUUAUUUUUGUUCAUUUCCCGGCAACUCCAGAAUUUCAAACUUGAAUGAACAUAUAUACCAGCGUUAUAUGAACAUUAGCUCUAUCUGCUGCUCCUCUCAGGUUCAUGGAGCUGCAGAAGCAAUGAGUUGGUGACAACAAAUAUUGAGCUCAAAGCCAUCAGCCCACCUGAAAGUGACGGAGUCAUGGCAAAAUCACAUUGGGGAAGCAGUACCCCAGCGGCAAUGGGAAUGGCAACAACAUUGUAAGCAAUAGCCCAAGAUAAAUUUUGAUACACUUUGGUCAUUGUUGCUCGCGCCAGAUCCAAUGCAUCUACAACCUGUGAGAGUCUGUUCCCAAGAAGUAUAAUAGAUGCUACAUCAGAUGCAGCAUUUUCUUGAGCUUCAUUCUGCAGGGCAAUCCCAACAUCAGCAAGAGCCAAAGAAGGUGCAUCAUUUAUCCCAUCACCUACCAUUGCAACGCGAUGCCCUGCAGCUUGAAGAGUUGAUAUAACACCAGAUUUCUGUUGUGGAGUCAAGGAUGCAUUGAUAAAUUCAGCUCCUAUUCCAACUCUGUUUGCAAUGUUUGCAACUGCCUCUUCCCUAUCUCCUGACACGAGGAGUGUAUUGAUACCUUUAAGCUGGAGCCUAUGUACAGUUGAUUCAGCAUCAUGGCGCAAACUAUCGGAUAUUGCAAUGGCACCAAUGAUGCCUUCCCCUUCACGUCCAACAUAGACGACCGUUUUUGAAUAGUUUGAUGAUAAAAUCCCUUUAGAUGACUGAGAUGCUACAGCAUUUUCCAGAUUCCUCAGAUCUGACAGGUUUGUCCUUCUCUGGAAUCGUUCAUGAACCCAAUCUAAACUACCAACCGCAACCAAACAUCUGUCUACUUCUGCUAAGGUUCCAAAACCUGGUUCUGUCAAUUGCCCUCUUGUUUCUGGGAUAGUCAAUUUCAUUGAUUCUGCUUCAUUCACAAUAGCUUUUGCAAUUGGAUGCAAUGCUGUUUUCUCCACUGCAGCAGCAAUUUGAAGAAUUUCUGAUUCCUCAUACGCAAUUGAAGCCACAGCAGAAACAGCAGGUUUUCCUUCGGUGAGGGUACCAGUCUUGUCCAAAGCAAUGUAAUUAAUGCUUGAAAAGCGUUCCAAUACGUCUCCUCCUCUUAUAAGAAGUCCUUGCUUAGCUCCAAGUGAAGUUCCAACUAGAAUUGCAGUGGGUGUGGCAAGUCCCAAUGCACAGGGGCAGGAAACUACCAAGACAUCCACGGAAAGUUUCAAGCUCAAAAGCAAAGCGUCUCCAUUGGGUCCAGCAAUAUCAUUGAGCAAAACAUCUGGAAAAACAUGCGAUCCAAUGUAGUACCAAAAAGCAAAUGUCGCUGCUGAAAUGGUCAUUACACUGUAUACAAAUGGCCCAGCUAAUGAAUCUGCAAGUCUUUGUAUGGGUGCUUCAUGACCUUGAGCUUCCUCAACCAUGUGAAAAAUCCUAGAUAUUGUUGAGUUGGAACCAGUAGAGGAGGCCUCGAUCCUUAAAGGACCAUCCCAGUUUAUAGUUCCAGCUGAGACUUUAAGGCCUUCUUCCUUAAAUACAGGUAGCGAUUCUCCUGUGAGCAUGGAUUCAUCCACAACACUUCUUCCUGCAAGAACCCUACCAUCUACUGGAAUAGUUUCGCCAGGCAGAACCAACACUGUGUCUCCAACUCGAACAUCAUCAGUGGGGACUUCAACACAAAUUGCAUCAGAGCAAAGAACAGUAUCAGCAGGGGACUUGCUAUCUGAUGAAGUAAUAACAAGACGUGAUUGAGUGGACAUCAGCGACAGAAGUUCAUUCAUAUCACUAGAUGCCUUGAUCCUUGCCUUUUCUUCAAGAGAACGUCCUAGCAGCACAAAACCAAGAAGCAUGACCUGCACACUAAAAAACAUGAGCCAUACAUGAGAACUUUGUUAACCAAAAUAAAUACAUAAAGCUAUAGUGCUGGACAGAAAAGUAGUUGAUGCAAGUAAAAAAGAGGUCUUGUCAGUUCUCAUGACAAUAAAAGUUAAAUCCAUCGGAGGUGUUCAACAGAAAUAAGCUUUAGCCAUGUUGAGCAGUACAUCCCCAGAGCUCAUUCAAAAAGAUCAGCAAACUUUUCACACAAGCAUGCAAAGAGCACACUAGAAAUUUUUUGACAAUAAAAUGUGUGAAGACUUAACGCAAGAAAUUCACCGGUUCAUCAAAGAAAUUUGCAUCCCAUUUGAGCUCAGGGUUAAGGAGUGAGAUCGCACUCAUGAUAAAUGCAGCAACUGACCCAAAUCCCACAAGAGAAUUCAUGUUUGGCGAUCCCUUCUUGAAGGCUCUUAUACCAUCAAAAAGUAAGUCUCUUCCAGGUCCCAUCAGAGCAGACAAGGCCAAACCACCCUUCACAUACGAAUUGUGCAGCACCUCCCAAAAUGAACCAUGAGCAACAUGAAUGCCAAGAGAGUGCAAAAUAUGUGAAGCGUGAGAUCCACAACAGAAAGCUACCAAAGUCCACGCAAACGCCACGCGAUUCCUACUCUUGACAAGCAACUCUUCUUUUUUCUGAACCAUCUCUCGCCACUUUUUCACAUUCUCUUUCACUCCCAGACCCGAAACCCUCCUUUUCGACUCGAAUCCGCAAUCAGUCAAUCUCCGACCAAGACUAUCCGCAAUAUCCGCCGAGGUUUCACUCUCUAAAGCCUCCGGUUUCAACUUUAACGCAGCGGUCUCGGUCAACAUGUUGACCACGACAGAUUCAAUUCGAUCAUCAGCGGAAAGCAAGGACUUGACACGGGAGACACACCCACCGCACAUCAUUCCAGAGACGUCAAGGAGAACCUGCAAGUCUUUGGGCCGUUCAGGGACUUGAAACGGCGUGUCUUGUAGUUGAGGUUUGACGUUGGAGAGAGUGAGGCGAGGAAUGGCGCAUGGCCGGGGGAUGAAACGGCAACGUUUCCGAAGGUGAGCAGCAUUGAAGUCAAAGGUGUAGUCAAGACGGUGCCUUGUGGUGUAGGCGUAGCUAAAUUUCUGGCGAGGCAAGAUCGAAAGCCUCAGCAAAUCAGUGGUCAUUU
rnacentral:misc_RNA from 1 species